GUGUUUGCAAGCUUUAACCCCGCUGCAUUUUUGCGCCUGUCCCAAGUCAGGAGCCUCUGGUCUUUGUUAGUCUUGUAUUAUUUUAAUUUUAGUUUCUUGUGUACAAUUUGGAAAUUAGUAUGGCGUUCAUUAUCACUGAACUAGUAUAUAUUUGUUUAGGGGCCAGCUGAAGGACGCCUCCGGGUGCGGGAAUUUCUAUGGUCGGGUUGUUGUCUCUUUGAUACAUUCCCCAUUUCCAUUCUCAAUUUUAUUUAAAUCCCUUCGAGAG
rnacentral:lncRNA from 1 species